AUACUUUGGUUUCUCUUCAGAUCAUAUAAAUCUUUUACCUUUCACUAAAAAUUUCCAUGGAAAGAAACAAGUCUGAGGUCUUUGACCAAUUUAUUGAGGACUUGAGCUCACAGAGCUU
ensembl:snRNA U5 U5 spliceosomal RNA